rnacentral:lncRNA from 1 species
CAAUAAAAGCUGUUAAUAAGUUAAAAUGCACAUAGGUUUGAACAUGUUUUAAAAUCAGAUAAUUAGGUCCAUAAUAGUAGUUGAGCGACCGUGCUAGAAUCACAGAACUCGGGAAUGCCUAUCACCUUCUCUCCGGUUAACAAAAUUCCUUACCUGGAUUUUUGUGUUCACAAACUGUAAUACAGAGUCAACCCUUUCAUUGAUUCGAGAUUUAAAUCAGU